CUUGAUCGACCCCAGCCACAGCGGCCGGUCCUGCGGGCGGUCCUGUCCGUACGUCGCCAGCAGGGCCUGCGCCUC
rnacentral:antisense_RNA from 1 species